AACACCGGAAGAACAUGGCUCUAGUGCAAUAUUAUAUUUAUUUCUUACAGUGACUUUUGGUUGCCAUACAAGAAACCUUGAGGAAUUGAAGGGGGGGGAAGUAGAGUGCUUUUACAGGAAAUUUCUCUCUUUUCGUUUCAGUAAUUAGACUCUAUGAUGAUUCAGUAGCACAAAAUUACAGCAACAUAGAAAACAUGAACACAAGUCUUCUGCACAAAUUACCAAAAACAUCUUAGUCUCUAUGAAGACUUAAAGAAUAAAAUCUAUUCAUGGGAAAUUAAAGGAAGAGAAACUAAAAGUUACCUGAAUGCUUGACGAUGAUGAAGGUGGGAGAAGUGGGGGGGGUGGGGGUGAUGAAGAUUCCUACUAAAUCUACUCUGCUCUACGUUUCCACAGAGAAAACUGCAGCCACCGCUUAUCGUUUAAGGUGGAUUUAUUUUGACACACAAAGGUUUUCAUACAGGUUUCUACGGGCGCGGCCUGCAGGGUCAGGGGUCAAAAUGUACACGCUUCCCUCAGUUUCUACACGCUCUGCGCUGAGGGGGGCGCUCUACUCAGGCAGAUGGUGUUCGUCAGAAAACACUUGAUUGGCCAGAAAUAUCUUAAAUCUACUGCAGCAGAGUGUUUUCUACUUUAGGCAACACGUCAUUAAAACACUGAUGGGUGAGAAGAUGGAAAAAAUAAAACACAACCAAGGAGAUUCAUUCAGAAUAAAUAUUGCUUCUUACAUAACCCAUAAAUCUAAUAAUAAUAAUCAUAAUAAUAAUAAUCCACAUUUUAAUCUACGUAUAUAUUAUUUCUGUUUUUGGCAAUCCAAGCAUCAGUGUUGAACAGUAUUUGUUCAUAAUACCUCUAUAAAAUUUCAUAGAACUCUAUACAAAUCUUUAAAAAUACUGUGCUUUUCUACCCCCUCCAGCACGCCGCUGUGAGUUUGAAAACAGGAUUAUAGCAGCAUUGUCCCUCGCCAGCCACCGUACGGCUGAUGUUCACAGAACACACGGGUUGUGGAUGUCUGUCUCCUGAAGAAAAGCUGCGAGAUGGAGCCGACGAAGACGGGUCAGAGCGGGGCGUGCUCGGAUGGAGGAGCUGGGUGGAGGAAGGGAGCAGCAAGCUUUUUAAGGCAUCCUCUGCCGGAUGACGCACAGGGCGGGGCGCGGGCCGGGGGCGGCUGGGGCUUUGGUCAUCGGGUCGGCCCUGCAGCUAUAGAUCUACCCUCAUAGACUUCCUUCUUCACCGUUUAUACACAGACUCAAAUAGACAUUUUUAUCCCGUUAAACACUCUUAUAUACAAACACAACAACCUUCAGCUUCAUAAAUAUGAUUAAACUCCAAACUCCAGCCGAGUUUCAGAGAAUCAUUUCUGACCUCACAGGGAGAGGAAACGUCAGGCGGAUCAGGAAUCCAGACUCAAGGCUCAAUUUGAAUCCAACUGAAAACAACUGGCAGGACAUUUUAAAGACGUCCUGCUUGUCUUCUUAUUUUUAAUGUCACUUUUAAUAAACCUUCAGGUCCAGGUAGUCAGUUAUUAAUCUCUAAUCUGACAGCAGUGCACAAACGUUUCAGUCAUUUUGUGAAAUAAAAAUAUUAUUUUUCUCUUCUAAAAUGUUUUUGUAUGUGCUUAAAAUAUUUUUUAUAUUAAGUUUUAUUAUUUAAAUCUGUCACAAGCUGAUAUUGUGUCCAACAGAACUGGAUCCAAAUGCAACAUUUUGGGAAAUACACACUUUGGUCUGAUUGGAUCUUUGUAGACAAACUGGUUUCUUUAGUGAAAUGACUUGAUGUUAAACCUGAAAAAUGUCUGAGUUAGCUUUUGAAUUUAGACAUAUUUUUAUGUUUGUUUUACACAAGAACAAUAAACUCAUGAUUUUUGUCAUUUUUACUUUGACUUACUGUAGAAUGUUAAUAGUUAACACUUUGUGCAUUAUAACCCUUUUUCUCUUUUAAUUCUUAUAUUUUUACUUAAUAGAACAAUUUUCAGGAUCAGUUAAACAACUGAGAUUUUCUUAAAUCACAGUUGUUUAACUGUUAACUGUUGUUUAAAUGUUAAAUAUUUUCCCCCUAUAAAGUGUGUAAAAUGUUUAAUCAUAAACAGUAAUAAUUAUAAUCAUUGAUUAUGUGUAAUUAACAUUGAUAGAGUCGGUCAUAUAAGACCAAACCAAACUGAUUAUGUUGACAUGUUAAUGUAGCGCAGCGAUCAGGAACAAAACUGCGGUGGAACAUGAAUAAAAAACCUGUCAUUUUUUAAUCCUUUCAUUUCAUUAAGGUAUAUGGCAGUUAUUUAUUUUGUGUCGGAAAAGUAACUUUUUGUCUGUUGAAAUUCAGUUUUAACCUCAGCAUGUUUUGUAGUUGAAAAACACAUUGAAUAGCUUAGCUUAUUUUAGCCUAAACAAAAUGUCCCUUUACAUACAGAAGAUUAAUACUGAUGAAAUGUUUUAGUUGGCAAAAUCACCAAAAACAACAAAAAGUUACUUCAUCAAAUGAAUUCAACCACUGCCAUAUUUUAUAAAAAAAACAUUUCUAACUAGACAGAUAAGAUGUUAAAUUAGCUUCGGCAGCUAAAUUAGCUUCGGCAGCUAAAUUAGCUUCGGCAGCUGUGAGUCCAGUUUGUUUCUCUUUAUCUCAUCAGCAGACAAGAACCUGGUGAUUAUUAUUCAGCAACAUGUAUUGUUGUGUUUUAUACUUAGUGAACACGUAGCCAAAUAUAUAGGAAACAAGUUCAUUUUUAUAUGUUUUAACCUUGCAUCCACACAAAAACAAACUCUAUGAUGAAAACUCCUGUGGAUUACAGAUUGUGAUCAAUAAUGUGUCGAUAUAUUAACGUUCUUGCUUUUAUACAAUUCCCAAAAUAAAUUGUCUUGUAUUUUAUAAACAUCGUUUACUCCAUUUAUCGGUCCUCAUAAAAUGAACCUGCUGGCGCCAUGUUUAAUUCCUAACAGGAAGUUGUGGCUGUUGUGAAGCUUCUGAUUGGCUGACAUUGGUUUCAGCUUUGUGCUACACCGCCCCCUAUGGGUCUGGCAUGUUU